AGCCUUAGUACGUUAUGAUGUGCCAAACCAUUAUAAGGGGGGAUAUAUGACCAUGAUCGUAAGUCACCACUGUGGCCCCUACCUACGGCUUCGCAAAUAUGCUCUCGUCAGAGGGAACACUCAUCAUUCACAAUGAGCAAUUCACCAACAAAUUCAAAUUGAGAGACAGAGAUAGAACAGAAACAGAGAUAAAAACCCCUA
rnacentral:lncRNA from 1 species